GAUGAACGCUGGCGGCGUGCCUAAUACAUGCAAGUCGAGCGAACGGACGAGAAGCUUGGUUCUCUGAUGUUAGCGGCGGACGGGUGAGUAACACGUGGAUAACCUACCUAUAAGACUGGGAUAACUUCGGGAAACCGUAGCUAAUACCGGAUAAUAUUUUGAACCGCAUGGUUCAAAAGUGAAAGACGGUCUUGCUGUCACUUAUAGAUGGAUCCGCGCUGCAUUAGCUAGUUGGUAAGGUAACGGCUUACCAAGGCAACGAUGCAUAGCCGACCUGAGAGGGUGAUCGGCCACACUGGAACUGAGACACGGUCCAGACUCCUACGGGAGGCAGCAGUAGGGAAUCUUCCGCAAUGGGCGAAAGCCUGACGGAGCAACGCCGCGUGAGUGAUGGAGGUCUUCGGAUCGUAAAACUCUGUUAUUAGGGAAGAACAUAUGUGUAAGUAACUGUGCACAUCUUGACGGUACCUAAUCAGAAAGCCACGGCUAACUACGUG
rnacentral:rRNA from 1 species